rnacentral:rRNA from 1 species
AGUGAACGCUGGCGGUAGGCCUAACACAUGCAAGUCGAACGGCAGCACAGUAGGAGCUUGCUCUUACGGGUGGCGGGUGGCGGACGGGUGAGGAAUACAUCGGAAUCUACUUUUUCGUGGGGGAUAACGUAGGGAAACUUACGCUAAUACCGCAUACGACCUACGGGUGAAAGCAGGGGAUCUUCGGACCUUGCGCGAUUGAAUGAGCCGAUGUCGGAUUAGCUAGUUGGCGGGGUAAAGGCCCACCAAGGCGACGAUCCGUAGCUGGUCUGAGAGGAUGAUCAGCCACACUGGAACUGAGACACGGUCCAGACUCCUACGGGAGGCAGCAGUGGGGAAUAUUGGACAAUGGGCGCAAGCCUGAUCCAGCCAUACCGCGUGGGUGAAGAAGGCCUUCGGGUUGUAAAGCCCUUUUGUUGGGAAAGAAAAGCAGCAGGUUAAUACCCCGCUGUUCUGACGGUACCCAAAGAAUAAGCACCGGCUAACUUCGUG